ensembl:lncRNA
CGUGUGUUAUUUUCAAUCUAAAGCUAAAAUAAACAAAUACAUGGGUUUGUUUUUGUUUAAAAAAGGGGACUACUUAAGCGGAUGAGUACCACAUUUUCUUGUAGCCGUAUCACUAUAACAAUAUAAAUAGCGCUGGUGACGCUGUUGCAACUUACACCGCGCUGAUGCUUUUCCGUCUUGUGGUUGGGCGUUGCAGGUUGACCGUAUCUUGUUUUUUCCUUUUUUGAUCUUUUUAAGUUCGGGUUUUAUUUUCGAAGCUGUAUAGCCUUGCUCUAUCUAGUCUAAUGUUUGCGACAAGUUUAAUUUUAGCGUCUUGAGCAUUAUUGAUCAUUAUUUUAAUGCAAGUACUUUAAAUCUCUAGAUGUAACGUGUUUUCGGUUUGUUAAACGCUUUUUAGUACUGCUUUAUUGCAAAUGAUUAAGAUUGUAGAAGAUAAACACAAAUUCUACUUAGUCAGAUCAAAGGCCUGAUUCUUGUUUUUUUGCCGAGGGCUGUUGAGCUAACGCUAGGCUUAGCCAGCCAAAUGUAUAAAUUUGUGCUAGCAUUGUCAGUUAUUCCGCAACAGUUAUUUUUUUUUUAGCUGUCAUGUUUAGCGUUUGUCUAGCGGUUAUCUUGCUUUUUAAAAAUAUAUUCCAAGUAACCAUUUUUGGUCAUACUAACAGCAGUUGGCUCGAGAUGGGAGCUGUAACGUAGAAACGUGUAAACGUCGUCUAUUGGCUAAUUCAAUUAACGUCAUGACGUAAGUAGACGGCAGUGGAAAAGGGAGUGGUCAGACUGACGGCCAUUAUCAGCCUUCACGUAGUGCUUUUCGAGAAGGUGUAGAAAGCUUUUAGCAACAAAAUGGCAGAGGAACAUUUUUCAUACUUUUGAAAUUAAUAAGGCAGUGAAGUUAAGUGCCUAAUUAGGUUCCUAAAGAGUACUGACUUUGCAAUGUGGUCUCUAAGAUUAGAUCACAAUGUAACUACAGUUGACGGAGUCUGUUAAAUAUUCGAAAAUUCGUUUUUAUUCCGAAGAAAGAAAAUAAGGAUGUCUUGUCGUGAUCAGACGCAGAUUAUGAGAAGUGCUAGUAAUUGUAUUUAAAACGGAGGGUUUAUGUAAGCUCGGAGGUGCUAUCGAACUACGAUAGACUAGACCAGCCUGUGUUUAUUUAAAAAAAAAAAAAAGCAUCAGGAACAGAUUAAGUAACAACAGCGUCAAAGAAGCAAUGAAGACGUUUUUAUUUUUGUUUGAUAGCUGUUACUUGGAUGAGGUCCUUACCUCUGUCUUUUCACUCUUAUCCCAUUGAUCGGGGAAGCAUUUUGCAAUGCGAAGUUUUUUAUUUAAUUUUUUUUAAUCGACAUUUUCGCUCAGUUUCCAUCAGUCAUUAGACUUGAAGUUUCAAGCUAUCAAUUCUGCAUUCAAAGAAAGAAGAUAGCAUAAGUCAAGUAAUGCUGAAGAAUGGAAGCUUAUCUUAGAGCUCUAGUAGUAGCUCAAGCAAUAUCAAGUUCAGAUUUAUGGACCUUGAGAAGAAAUUAAAAAAAAAAAAAAAAAAGGUUCAUCACUUAGGGAAGACAGAAGACUUUUUUUUGGGGGGGGAGAUGGACUGAGUUAUCACGGGGAGGAAUGGACUUAGUUAUUAGAUGAAGAUCGAAGGACGGCUUGGAGCGAGGUCGCGGGACACGGGGAGGACCACAGAGGAGCCAGCCAGGCAGGACAGGACCAGAGGGGCGUGGAGGGGAGGAGCAGAGGGGGCCAAGAGAGCAGGAAGCAUCAGGAGCUGUCGGCCAGUGUGUACGCCAGAGGGAGCCAGAAACGCAGGGCAGUGUAGAAGCGCAGUGACCAGCCCCGAUGCCGAUCCAGUGCUGAGAGGGUGGGACAAGGGCGUGCAGACUUCUAGCGUCACAAGUUUAAAGCGGGGCUUUGGUUUGUAUACUGGGUAGAGGUAUUUCUGUAACACUCAGUAUUUGGUUUUUGUACUUUCCAGAAACAUCUGUUGUCGAACAACUUCUCGCACAGCUCUCUCUUCCUCUUUUCAGGCAAGCCGUGUAAAGUGUUUUGUACCGUGGUCACCCCUCCUGUUGUGCGCUGAAAUGUGUGGUGGUGUCUGCUGUGAUGAAUGCCUUGGUAGUGUGCUGACGAGGAGCGUCUUAAUGGACUUCUCUACCCCCCUGCGAUCACAAGUAGUUUCCACAAGCGGAGGGAGAGGCAGUCCUUUUGUUGUUCGAUAGGUCUUCCCCCAGAGAAGUUUUCUGCAUUGGAGUGUGAAAGUGGAUGGUCUCCCAUACGGCCAAUUGUGUAUUCGGCAACUCUUCGGUACUUCAGCUGCGCCUCUUUGGUACAGAUCAGCUACAUCUACCUCUUAAACCCAAGCUGUGAGUUAAUGCAUGGAAUGUACAUGUGGGUGUAACUAUCCUGUACAUUAACUCAUCAUUACAUUUCAUAAGUAUACAGUAAUGACUUCACUCAAAAGGGAAUUUGCAUUGAAAUGGUAGUUGAUCCUGGUGGGUAAAUAUUUUUGGCUUAAGGGGAGGGGUGGGAUGGGGGGGUUGUUAAAACUUGUUUGGAGUCUUUCUUUUUACAGGCCUGGCCCCCUAACGCGAUCAUCGACAGAAUCCCCCCCCCCCCUUUCUAGCUGCUUGGUACAAGUUGAGCUCAUCCUAUAUACAGUAGUGAUAUGGAUCGAGAUCAUGCGCAUCCACUGUGCUUAAACGAGAUAUAGAAAGGUAUUUGGUGUUCACUGACUCAAUUAGUUUUCCUCUCACUUUUAUUUGGAAUAUGUUGUAAAUGGGCUUCCAUGAAUUUAUUUUUUUGGGAGGGGUGGGUUGUGGGGCGUUAAUCCGUCUCUUCCUAGACUUCACAGCUCCACAUUGCCCAGUGCACAUGGCUUGAAUAGGAAACAUCCAGGCGCAAGCAACAAGAUUCAACUGGACACUUAACAACGCAAGAUAGCAACCUCAAAAGUAGUCUUCUGAUGUAGUGAAGCUCCUUUCCCCCAGGGAGAGUGCGGUAAUACUUCUCCUUACUAGAAGUCAUUGUAAUUCUGUACAGGCUUUACGUUGCUUUGUGGGUUGGGAGGGGGCUGUGUAUUUUUUUUGACUCUUACAGAUUAACUUUUAAGGCCCAUCCUUCAAAAAGCUACGUCCAAGUCCAUGCCUACAGUUAAGGAAGGAGUCCCUCAUACUCAGGCCUGUGGUAUUUUAAAUGUUUCUUAUGGCAAAUGGCUUCAAUCUUUUGUGAAUUGUAUUUGUAGUCUUAAAGUUGGGCUUGUUAAAGCAGUUGCUGUAAUCCCAGUAGUGUCUUGUAGUUUUCUACAAUGUUACUUUAAUGCCAGUGUUGUAGUUUUCUACCAUAUUGUAUUAGGGCAGGGGUGUUGUGGGGAGAGGCUUUUCUUUGCAUUUUUUCAGUGUGCUGUGUCCUGUGUGCUUUCAAUACCCAAGACCAUCAGGAACUCCUAACUCAUUGUAUGUACAAGUUUCCUUGCGCAUCGAGCAUCACGUAAGGUGGCUAAAUGUGAUCAUUUACUUUAACAUUCAUUAUUUGGCUAAUUGCCUUCAUUGCAAUUCCUUUGCAAUUAGUUACUUUGCUUUGUAUCGCCAAUACAAUGAGUGAACUAUCUGUAAAGGAUUUUCUUACUGCAUAAUAAAUGCAUAGCUUGUUGUGAUUGAAUACAGUUUUGGUAUGCAUUUGUUCUUUUUGGGGGGGCUUGUGUGGGGGAGCUUUUCUUGUGCUUUUUCAGGUAUGACUAAAGCUUGGAGCUUUGUAGAGCACGGAUGUGACCUGGGCUCGAAUGACUUCUAUUUCAAAGUGGAAAGUGAAGGCAGAUAAGUUGAAUCCAUCAAAUAUUGAUGUCGAAAAACAGAAAAUUCUCAGCCCUAUAGGGGUCACUUAUCUUGACUGGACUUGCGUGUCCUCAUUCUUGAAAUGAAAGCAACUUGCUAUACUUGACAGUAGAAAUAGCACUCCUGUGCUUUCUUAACAAGUCACUUGUGAUAACGGGAAGAUUUGAUGGACCUUCAUUGAUUCUGACAUUAUCUGCAGUAAAGCAUUUGGGUAAGGAUAACAAUAGUCAGUUCUACGAUACUGUGGGGAGGGGUAUAGGGGUGUUUCUUUUCUGCCUCUUUGCUCUUACAGAACAAUCCAAAGGAAGAAAGCAGUGUACCUAGGAGAACACAAGAAUCACGCUGCGCUUUGAACUCCACCAACAUGCAGUUUGAACAAAAGGAGUCAGGUUUUUGAUGUUUACAUAUAUUAGAGCAUUUAGCCCUCAGCUGCUUGCCCUUGUGCAACUGUGCAAGUGGCAGGUUGGUCACCUUAGCAAUCGCGCAACUGUGCGAAGUUUCAAAAUUUAAGCAGCUGAGGAAAGCUGCGCAUGGUGCGGCUUAAUUUGGUCUGAAAUGCAGCGCAAAUGUGCUGCCUUAGUUUCUAUUGUGUUGUGGUUGGGCGUAUCCCUACACUUCUCUUCACAGAACUCACAGUGCAAGACUGGUUCAAGCACGAGUCAAGUCCUAACCCGGAGCAUGUAGUAAGCUGUUGGCUUUACUUGUCAAAACUUCUGCAAUGUUGUAGUUGACAAAAUGACAUCUUGGAACUGGCUUUAUGUUAACCUCAAAUCAUCAGUAACAAUGCUUUACUAGCUUAUUCCUCUUUGGCCUUGGGGCCCUAUUGCUUUGCAUCUUACAACCAUAAGAUGAGUAGAACCCAAAUCUUUUGAGUAUUGUGUGGUGGGUGUGUUGUGUAGAUCACUCUUUGUUUCAGAUCAUUCUCGUCUGUCCACUCCGAUCUCGCCUGCCUCUGAAUGCAAAGCCAUCUGUGGAAGCUGUCAGCGAUAUGAGUGUGGCCCCUGAAUGAAGUACCAAUCCCCUGUGCGCUUGAGCUUAAAUCUGAACCCCUGACGUCCUUCGCAGAAGCCCCCGCUCUCUGUGUUUGUGUGCCUUUUUCUUUCCCUUUGGUUUCUCAGGUCAAAUUACCCCAAAUUCUUAAUUUUUCAUCUGGGAUGGCCUAACCUGUGAUGGAACACUGAGAAUCCAGUCACAUUAAGAUCAAGAGCUGCAAGCUUGUUUUCGCUAAUACUGCAUCACUUCAGUCUCGUGGGUGCUAAGUUAAGUAAUUUCGGUUCCCUUGAUUUUUCUUUAACAUACCAUGGCUUUAAUGUGUAACUCAACAUGUUGCAUGCACAUCAGCUAUGCAUAACAUUUUAUUUGUAAAACAAUGUUCAUAAAGUCGUUGUCAAACAUUGCAGUAGUAUUAUGGUUAGGAGGGUCUGGGGGGGGGGCAAACACUCUUCUUUCUCCCUUUUUCAGAUUUCUCAUUCAGCUUAACUUGCUACUGAACCAGAGAACUUAAAGGUCUGCAGGGAGUCAUUGGAUCACUUGGUACUGCCAGCCUCUAGGGUUCAUUUAAUACAUUGAAGAGCUGAGCAUCAGAGGAAGAAUAGCUGUGGUAAAUGCUGCAUCAGCUGUGGUAAACUACAACAAUGUUGAUAAAUUCAAUCUCCCAUCAUAUUGGAUGAGUCUUGGUACAAGUGUGGGGUUUGGGUGGGGGGGGGGGGCUUAAAUUGUCUGUCUUUUUUCCCAUUGCAGCCAUAAAAUUGGCAAGAAAGCCUUCACUGUCAGUUGACCCGCGACUCGUGCUGAAUUGCAGAGGGGAAAAUCGCUUUGACAAGGGAUUCUGGUAUCGUGGUUUUAUUAUGGCUAAACGGAUUUCGUGGAAUAAUACACCAAUACAGUGUCGCUGUGGGGAAUUUUGGGGAUUGGGGAAACCAGACGUCUCUCUGUUCUAGUUUCAGCCUCGUGACCAAGAGAAUCCCCGUGGUGACAGCAUAAUUAGCAUCCAGGUGUCGGGUUUUCUUUUCCUGGAAGAACAUUUGUUCUUCCAAAUGUUCUUCCAGGUUUUGCUUUUGCCCUAACUAGCAAAAACAAAAAGCAAAAGACUCCGGUGAUGGCACUCCUGACUCUGUCGGGACGGGGUUCAAUUCCCUGCGGUGUCUUGCUUUUUUAAAAUAAGCUUUGUGGGGCUGAAAGUAUAUUUAAUAACACUUCAACUUUAAAAUGGCUUCCAUAAAAGGACAAUGUCUGGGUGGGGAAAAUAUUUGUAUGGAAAUGAUCAAUAAAACUUUAAAACAAUGUCUCUGUUUUUGUCUCUGUUCUAUCGAUAAUUACAUCAAUAUUCUGUAAAUGACUUGAUGAGGUGGGCAUAAUGCAUAAAGAUUACUUCACAUUGUAUUCCGGCUGUCCUGUGAUGAUUAGCAACAGCUUUAUAAACCUCAUUUUGCAGUCUGUGUCCUGGACACGACCCUUCUUGAGGUCCAUGUCACAUGAUAACAAAUGGAAGAGGUGAGGUCAGGAAAGAAGACCUGAGGGGAGCAGGCAUCCAACAAAAGUCAUCCUUGCUCUGGAUCCUCUUUAGUACAACAGCAUAAAACAGUCCAGCUAUUGCUGUAUGUUUUGAUCUCAGCUCUUCUAUGAGAUAACUAUGCAGAGUAUCAUGAACAAUAACAGCUAGCUCUGAAGUAGCAUUUUGCUAUACAUGUAUGUUAUUUUUGGGGGAGGAUGGGAGGGGGGGUUGUGGUGUUUUGUUUUUUUAAUGACACUGAAGAGCAGGAUGUCUGAUCAAGCUUAAAAGAACAUGAAUAAGGAAAACUUAUUUGUAGACUUCAGCUAUAUGUUUUGUUGUGGGAAGUGUCACAACCUCAUCAGGCAAAUGGCAAUAAAGGAAAGCGAUGUCAAACCUUAAACAGUUUAUUUAAUUAGUUGGAUAUGUGGGAAUGUGUCAUACAAUGCGCAAACAAAGAAGUUCAUAUUGUAUUCUUGGGUAUUGUAUUACUUGUGGCCUGUGACAAAACCAGUAGAUUCAAUGUUUCUUUCAUUGAAUCUACCAAAAGUAACAGUUUGAGAGAUAUAAAAUAUUAUUUUUGCAUUAACAAGGUAUUAUUUUAGGUUGCAUCAGUUUACCCUUCCUGUUAAAAAGGUGUUUUUCCUUCCCACCAUUGUUCGUAGCGGGACAUCUGAAGUUUAUAUAUAUUGUAGAGUCUCUACAUUACAAUAUAACGUGUAUUGAAGUGACUGUUUUUGUGAAUUGGUUCGUAUACAUAAAAUGUAGUUUAAGAAAAACAACUCACAAUGGUGUGAAUUGUGUGUAUCUUUAAAAUAUUUUUGUAAAAUGGACAAGUGGAGGA